rnacentral:lncRNA from 1 species
AAAAUUCUAAAUAAGCUUUAAUCAAAUUCAAAAGAAAUCCUAAAGAAAUUACAAAAGAAACAAUAAAAAAUCUUAAAGUAGUUGAAAGAUAAUCUAUAAUAAAUCUUAAAAGAAUCCUUAAGAAGUUCUAAAAAAAUAUUAAAAUAAUCACAAUAAAUUUUAAAUAAAUCUCAACCAAGCUCUAAUUUAAUCUUAGUUAAAAUCCUAAUCAACUUCAAUCAAAUACUAGACAAUUCCUAAAUCCUACAUCAAAUCUUAAUCAAAUACUAAAUCCUAAAUAUAAUCCUAAUCAAAUCCUAAAUCCUAAAUCAAAUCCUAAUCAAAUCUUAAAUCCUAAACCAAAUCAUAAUCAAAUCCUAAAUUCUAAAUCAUAUCCUACUUAAAUCCUAAUCAAAUCCUAAAUCCUAAUCAAAUCCUAAAUCUUAAACCAAAUCCUAAACAAAUCCUAAACAAAUCCUAAACAAAUCCUAAACUUUAAAUCAAAUUCUAAAUCCUAAAUCAAACCUUAAACAAAUUCUAAACUUUAAACUUAACCCUAUCCAAAUCUUAAUCAAAUCCUAAUCAAAUUCUAAAUCUUAAAUCAAAUCCUAACCAAAUCCUAAAUCUUAAACUUUAAACCAAAUCCUAUCCAAAUCCUAACCAAAUCUUAACCAAACCCUAAAUCCUAAGAAAGUUUAGAACCUCAAUAUCUAUUGAUUAAAUUAUUGAUCUUCUUUAAAAUUUUAUAUACCUUUUAAUCUCUUAAUCAUAAAUAAUUACAAAAAUUUGAAGACAAUCUCACUUACCAAAUGAAAGAAAAAUUCUAAAAUUUGCUUCGAUGUUGGCCGGCCUCUUUUUCCAACCUUAAUGCUAAUCUUCUAGUGCUAACAUCUCCUUUUUGUACCAUUUAA